UACGAAGGGUGCAAGCGUUCCUCGGAAUUACUGGGCGUAAAGCGUGCGUAGGUGGUUCGUUAAGUCUGAUGUGAAAGCCCUGGGCUCAACCUGGGAAUGGCAUUGGAUACUGGCGGACUGGAGUGCGGUAGAGGAUGGCGGAAUUCCCGGUGUAGCAGUGAAAUGCGUAGAGAUCGGGAGGAACAUCUGUGGCGAAGGCGGCCAUCUGGACCAGCACUGACACUGAGGCACGAAAGCGUGGGGAGCAAACAGG
rnacentral:rRNA from 1 species